GCCGGAAUAGCUCAGUUGGGAGAGCAGUAGACUGAAGUCGUCACGUGCUUCCGCGGUCACGUGUUCUAAAGGUCGGGCGUUCGAUCCGCCCUUCUGGCA